GCGUCGACACGUAGCCGCGCGCGUGCCACCUCACCCCCUUGCCGCUCGGCUAUAUGAAGGCCACCCCGAGCACUCCAGCGCAUCCACCGCACUCCUCUCCCCCUCCCCCACCUCUAGCCCGAGCUCGAGAAGCUCUCUGGGCUCGACAUCGCCGCCAUGGCCGCCGGCCUCCUCCUCCUAAAUUGGAGCUAGCCGAGCCCUCCCUCUCCUCGUAGCCACCACCACCCGAAGCCGCUCACUCCGGCGACCCUCCCCGGCCUCUCUUCUUCUCGCCGGAAUGCCUCAGGCCACCGCCCUCAAAGAUCGGCCCCGCCGCCGGGUCCUUUGUCUCCUUGAGCCUCCGCCAUCCUGCUCCUCCCCUGUGCUGGUACUGCACCUGGACGGGCGCGGCACCUCCUGCAGAGUCCUCCGAUGCCCUCGCCGUCGUCUGAGAUGGCCGGAGCCGCCCGGGAGCCUCGCCGGACCGGUCGGCCUCGCCCUGCCUCGGCGCACCGUCGGGAUGGAGAAGGAAGAAGAGAAGGGAGGAGAGAGAGAGAGGUGAGCAGGCCCCACCAGUCAGUCACACAGGAGCCGGCCCGCGUUGACCCCGCCUGCCAGCAUGGAUAAGUGACGGGCCCCGCCCCGUGGGACCCGCACGUCAGCGUCACGCGAGCCGACCCCGCCUCUGCUUAGUCACAAAACGUACUCAGCCGAAGGCGCUUUCAGUUUUUGCCUCCAGGGACUUGUUUGUUGAAGUUUUAUUCACAGAUUGGUCCCUGGUGUUCAACACCUCGUAACUCCGCAACCGUAACUCUGAUUGAGCCCCCUCCGAGAGAGAACCCUUUCCGGCGAAUCUUUCCGCGGCUUCACCGCACUUCUCCCCGGAGCCUUCUUCAUCCCCAGGCAAGCCACAACCACCAUUUGCAUGAUAGCCAUGCAGAAGCAUUGGUUUUCAACUUGAAUCUUUAAUAACUGCCUGUUCGUUUUGCUACCGCUGUCGGUAUUUCGGUUAUGCUUAUGGAUCGGUGUUUACGCUCAUGUUAUGUUUUCUUGCACUCUGUUAUUAUGUUCUUCAUGCUAGUAUUACUUUAAUAUUGGCAAUGUUUGGUAGUAGUACAUGUUGGUGAUGGUCUUCGGUGCAUGACUAUCGUCUGGUCCGAGUACCGCCGUUAUGCAUGUUUCUUUGCAUCCAGUUGAUUAAAUACUUGCAUGGUAGUUUUAUCGUUAUGUUAUUGCAUGGUAUUUAUUAUUGAUGCUUGAUACGUCUCCAACGUAUCUAUAAUUUAUGAAGUCUUCAUGCUAUUAUAUUAUCAACCUUGGAUGUUUUAUAUGCAUUUAUAUG